AAUCUAGGGACCUAAUACACAAAAGAUCUAAGGAUUAAUUAGAAAAAAAAAUACAAGAUAUAACCUAGAAAUCUCUAUAUCUUAUAAAAUGAGAAAAAAUACAUAUUUAGAGAGGACACUAGCACUGUUUCUCAGAAAAUACACAAGAGACCCACCCCUUGAUUUAGUCUUCUCCAAACGACCCACCCGCUGACUUCAUCUCCCUCAUACACCCCACCCCAAGUCGCCGGACUUCAAACCACCUCACACAUGACCCAUCUCUUCCACAUAAAACAUAUGCGACACUCCUUCUGUCCAGAUCGAGCACAUCCCUCUCACCCAUCGUCCUCACAGCUAGAAACGAGAAAUACACAACACACACAGAGAUAGCGCGAGAGAGAGAAGGGAAGAUUGAUAAGAAAAAUUCAAAAUACAAAGAAAGAAAGAAAAAGGAAGUUCCAUUUAUUUUUAUCUGGACUUUAUUAGAAAUGGAUUCAAAUAUGUAGGAUGAUUGAGUUGAGGUGCUGUUCAAGUUGGGGUCGUUCGAAUUUCCGUGGAAGUAUUGUCUGUUGGUUUUUCGGUUCGAUUUUUACUGAUUUCGUUUGAAGCUGUGUCGACUUCUGACUGUAAUUGUUGCUUUGUUUCGCUCUGUGUAAUUGCUCCAUUUCAAUUAAUCUAAAAGCUAAUUUUAGGUUACUUCUAAUUUAUUUUAAUUCAUUUUGAAUCUGAACAUGAUUUGAGCUAGUGUUUGUGGUUGAAACUGUUGCACUGGUAUUUUAGGAGUGAGCUUACUUAAAAGAUGAUUUUGUGAUUAUUGGCACUAGAACAUAUUCAGCCAUUAGUUAGCAUAUCUGUUUGUUGGUGAUCUUAAGGUAGAACUCAAUUGUUAUAAGGUUCUAUUAGCCUUCAUAAUUAGUUGGAAGUUUGAUUCUUGUUAUGACUACACCUUGGUAACUGAUUGAAGUUUGUUUAUUAGCCAAGUCAUCAAUUUCUGGCCCUCAAAACUAAAUUUAGAGACCCCUUUGAUAGAAGACGAGGCAUGCCAUGCCAAAUAAAAUCUCAAAAUCCAGGGCCUUCACUUAAUUAACUUUAAUCCUCCAGAAAUCGAGGUGUGACAAAUAGUGAAUUUUCCAUGAUACUCGCAAACUUGAAAAUGUAUAGUUACUUUAGGCGUGCAAUUCAAAUUAAUUUCCUUAAACUCGUGUAUACAUUUCAUGUGACCCAAAUCCAAAUCUCAGCAACGUUAAAUAAAAUGUGUCAUGGACCACAGGUGCAUUUCAUGUGGCGUGGUUCAAGACGUGUUUUAGAUAAAGUUGAAUCUUCCAAAAAUUAUAUUAAAAGCGAUUAAUGAGCUAAAAUAUACCAUAGACUAAAACAUGUAUUAAAAUCAAACAAUAUGCCAAUUAUAAUAGUUGAGCGACUGUGCUAGAACCACGGAACUCGAAAAUGCCUAACACCUUCUCCCGGGUUAACAAAAUUUCUUACCCGAAUUUCUGUCUUCACGGACUGUAAAACAGAUCAAUAUUUCCUUGAUUCGAGAUUUAAACUGGUGACUUGGGACACCGUAAAUUAUUCCAAGUGGUGACUCUGAACUUAAAAGUAAUGUCACUUUUAUUGUCACUUUAAGUUGGAAAAAACUCCCUUACACCUUUCCGGAGGGUAGGAAAAAGGAUGCGUGACAGCUCUAGCGACUCUGCUGGGGAAGAGAACCCAAAAUCUCUAGUUCAGGGUUCAGAAUUCGAGCUUAAAAUAUUAAUUAUAGUUGGCGUUAUUUAUUUGCUAAUUUUCAUAUGUUUGAGCCUAAUGUGCUAAUUGCUGCUUUUUACCGCUUUGAUGUUGUUUGGACUGUAUAUUAAUUGUUACGAAACCCUCCUCUCUCUAAGUCUUAUAAAUCAUCUGGGAAGUGUGCACUUCGUGUGACUUCUCUUCUGUUAGAGUCAUAUCCCAAUUUUAGAACGAGGUUCGGACAAGUUGUAAAGCCGGUGAAACUUCUGUAUUCUCGGUAUGAUCCCCCCCCGGCUCGAGCUGUCUGCUCGGGUAAGCCGGGUUUAGAACAAAUAAACUCAGAUUUUAAACAUAGAAUAACAUAGCUUCAUGUCGGAUCCCUAGUAGAAACAUUUGCUUCACGUGCAUUUGACUUUGGGGACUCAACACAGAGGUUGGGUCCGUCUAGGACAGGUGUACCCAAAAUAACAGACCAUCUUGAUACAUCCUAUGUGCUACAUGUUACAUUUCUUCAAGGGUAAUACGGUCAUUUGGUGGACCAAUGAUAAUUGAGGGCAAAUAAAAAAGAAAAAAUAAAGGUGAAGUGUGAGGAUAAAGCGAGGAGGGCCUAAUUAUACUUUCUGUCACAUUGUUGUUAAGGGAAAAAAAGAGCUUGAAAUUUCAAAAAAAAGAAAAAAGAUGUUGCACUUUUUCAUCAUUUUCUAAAAGUCAGAAAAUCAAAAAAAAAAGGAAAAGAAGAAAAACCAAAAAGAGUUUAUAUUCAUCAUUUUUCAAAACAAAAGAUAAAAAAUAUUUUUUCUCUAAAUUAGUUAUUAUUUUUGUUUCUCGCCCGUAUCCAAUCUAACCGAACUAUGCGAACUUGAUUCUCGUCUCUCGGGGCGGGGUACAUAGGCAACCUACAUAGGGUCCGGUCUUUCUAGUAAAUCUUAGUUUUUUGGCUUUGUGGGUUCUUUGCCAAAUUUUACACGUUUAGCCACAUUUUGGUCACAUAAGCCAUUUCGCAAAAAUAGCCUCAAUCACGUCUUGCAUGCGUCCAACAUGAAGGGUUAUUGUCUCACCUAGCAUUCUAGGUCUUUAACUUUAAAUUGUCCUAAUUUUUUUACACAAAUGUGAAUCUACUUAGCGAAGCUUAGUCAUGACAGACACCUUAGGAUCAUCCAGUCAAGAUCGCUCAUUCAGGAGUUACUUACGAAUUAUUUUUUUUAAUUUACUUUUUUAUGUUUUCAGUUUAUUUUUUUAUGUCGUCUUUUACCUUUUUGUUUUGUACAAUAAUGUCGAGUUUUUGUUAUUAAAUAUUCUAUUUUGUAUUUGAAAAAGUGUGUUAUAACUCAAAAAUCCAAACAAAAAAAAAGAUUUUUCGAGUCUUAUAUUUCCAUUAGAAUUUUCUUUAGAAAUACUACUCCAGAAAAUUGAGAAAAAAAUUAUUUGAAUUGGUUUUUCCUUAAGGCAAUUAAUAUCUAGAUUAAAAUUAAAAUUAAUUUUAUAUUUCCUUUAUUUAGGACUAAAAAUUCAAAAAAAAAAAGAAUUUUCUUUUAAUACCUUUUUAAUAAAAAGUUUUCUUUAAGUUAUUCAUUUCAAAAAUCCAAAAAGUUUUUUCUUUUGAGGUUAUUCUUCGAGAAAUUAAUGAAAAACAAAAAAAAUAUUCUUUUAUUUUCACUAGAACUUUAGGACAUUGUACAUAGAAUAAAAAGAAAAAAAAUUAUCUUUUAAUUAUCUUUAAAGUUUCUUCCUUAGAUAAUCAAUAAACCAAAAAACCAAAAUCCAAAAAUAUUUUUAUCUUUUUUCAUUUCUCAUUUUGAAAUCUUUCUUCAAGGAUAUCAAAUGAAAAUUCAAAAUGUUCUUUCUCGGUUAUUCUUUAGAUUUUCUUCCUAAAAAAUCAAAAAAUAUUUUUCUCUUCUAGGGGUUUUCCUUAAUAAUUACCCAUAGAGUAUUUGUUUCAAAUAGGAAGAAAAGAAAAGAACAAAAAUAUAUGAUCGUUAAGCUUGAGUUUAGAAUAGGUUAUAGAACAUUAAGUCUAGAAAAAAAAGAGUUUUUCUUCUUUUAUUUCUCUUUUCUUACAAGAAUAGUCGUUAAGGUAAAAAGGAAAGAAAAAGAGAAUGUUAGUUUGUUUGCUUUAUUUUCGAUCUUCCAGAACUACGCAAAGAUCUGAUUCAUGCGGCAUCAUGAUACGUAAGCAACCUACAUAGGGUUCGAUCGAAUCAUUUUUUAUUAUUAUUAAAUAAUCAAAAAAAACAUAACAAAACAAACAAAAGAAAAGAAAAAAAGAGAGAUGAAACCAUGGGAUGUGAUAUAUGAGAGGGAAGAAAAGAGCAAUCAUCAGAAGAAAAAAAAGGAAGGAAAAUGUGCGAGCUAAAAAGUGUGAGAAAAGAAAAAAAAGAGAAGAUUCAAAUGGACAAAUAGGGAUGAUGCCAAAUGACCUUCAUACCCUUGAAGUCAUUUUAGAACCAAUAAUUGUGACUAGGUGCAUUGCAUAUAAUGUGAGAUUAUAUUAUGUUAAAUGCCCUAACACUAAAUUGAUGACUUUAUUUAGUUAUCUUCAUAGUAGAUGUGUGGUUGGUUUGUGGUUCUCGAGGUAGUAAAUCCUCUCUACAACAUAAAGUCAAAAGGCAAUGGCGGAUAACAACAGAAUUGGGUUGGUUGAUACCGGUGCCCGAAAGCAUUUGGUUGAAUAAGACGCUAGUUUGGUGAUGAAGUAAGGAUGUUAAGACAACACAUGACAAACAUGUAUCAGGCCUGGAUGACUUGGAAGGGACUACCCCCGCCACCAUCUAGCUUCUCAGAUGCUACCGUUACCCAAACUCCGGUCAUAGUGUCGGAUGAUCCCUCAUACUCUCCAGAUCCACCCGUUUAUCACAACUUUCCCAACUACCCUAGUAGCUUCAUCACUCAUCAUCCAAUUACCUCUCCCCAAAAUUGCCCUCCUAUCAUAUCCAUUAUCCCCAACGAUGAAUACCCACUCAAAUCUCAUGAUGCCAACCACUACCCCACAGAAGUUGCCCACAAGGUUCCUGGCUCAUAAGCAGAGCCCACGCGAUGAGCUUCAUGCUGUAAAUGAAAAGUUUACAGGAAAAGAAGGGCAAGAUGAGAUAUCCAGGAAGCUGAAAAGCAUAGAGCAGUCCUUAUAGAACAUGCAAGAGAUGGGAGACCAGGUUAAUACGUCGUACAAAAAAUUGUGUAUGUUCCUUAACGUUCGCCUGCCCGUGGGGUGCAAAGUGCUAAAGUUUAACUUGCAUGAUGGGUAUGGAGAUCCGGUAGCCCAUAUGAGGGGUUAUUGUUGUGAAAUGAGAAGUGUUGGCAAGAAAGAUGAUUUGUUGAUGGCGUAUUUCAGUGAGAGCUUGACUGGGGUAGCUUUGUAAUGGCAUAAUCGUCAAGAUGUUGGUAAGUGGCAUACAUUGGGCGACAUGGAUCAAGAUUUUGUGUGACACUUUCAAUACAAUAUACACAUCGUCCCAGACCGCUCCUCCCUAUCUCAGAUGGAAAAGAAACCCAAGGAAAUUUUUAAGGACUUUUGGCUCAGAUGGAAAGAACAAGUUGCUCAGAACAUUCCUCCCAUUGAUAGAAAAGAUGUUGUUGAGCCCCGCCAACUUCAGAAUCCGGUGGGUAUUCAUUCUAAAUGCUUUCAGCCUCAAUAUCGACCUCGCGAAUAUCCUUGUAAUCCUCCCUACUGCUACUUCUCUCCACAGAACCCCCAAAAUCGUACAUCACUUUCCCGAUACCUCAUCCACAAUGCACCACCAUAUGCUCCACAUCCACGAGCCCCGUAAUGGCCCGCACCACUUCCACAAAUAUCUUACCCGGCCCCUCAGGCAUAUAAACCACAUGCCUGCAAAAGGUUCCAACCAAGGCCAUAGUAUAAAAUAAAAAGACUACUGAAAAAAAAAAGGCUUUCACCUCUAUUGGUGAAUCAUAUGCCAGUCUGUUCUAGAGGCUGAGGCAAUUGGACAUGUUGAAGCUGAUUUAGAUAAAAAUGCCAAAACCUCUUCCAAAAAGUUUGAUUUUUCUCAAAGGUGCGCAUAUUUCUCAGAUGCCUCGGGGAAUGACAUAGAAAAGUAUUGGCAUCUGAAAGGAGCAGUCCAGAAGCUUAUUGAUGCAAGUGACAUUACCGUGCAAAAUCCAAAUGCAGCAGAUACUAGCCAAAGUCCAUUGUCUGUUCAUAAUGAGACGCAUAUGGAGGACAUGAUUUGUGUAGAAAAAGAAUAUGAGAACUAUUCCGAGUCUCUUGGUUCUGGAAGUUGAUCAUAAGAAUGAGUCGGCCAAAGGGACCCAAAAGCAAUUUGCUAAGGACAAUGUGAUGAAGACUUGUGAAGGUUCUAGCAAUAUUGAUGAUGAAACCAAUUGCUAAGAUGCAUAGCUUGGUAGCUGGGGAAGAGUCUUGGUGGAUUAUUUUGUAGUCGUUUAAGUUGUCCGAGUUAUUUUUAGGGUUGUAAUCCGGACUUGUGACUCAAACCCUUCUAUCCUUUUAUUUUUCCUAGUUCGUUUAGUCGUAGUAACUCGUUUAGUAUUGUCUAGGUUUGUUCCAAGUUUGUAACCCCAGUGUAGUUUUCUUGUCUUGUUGUUCGAAUUAUUUCACCGUCUAUCUAAUGCAAUUUCCUGUCUUCUGUUAUUAUUAGUCAUUUUUUUUGUUUAGUUGUCUCCUCCUUUUAUAGUUCUUUUCCUGCUGACUCUAGUGACAUGACAUGCAUGCAUAAUUCUCUGCCUCGUCUUAAAAGUCAGUUUAGUCAUAAAGCAUUGAAACAAUUUUGAAGAUGAUAGGGACAUUUGAGGGAAAUAAGUAAAGCCAUUUUGAGAUCUCUACAAGCCCGAAUUGUGUAAAACUGGAGCAGAUAGAAGAUAAAAGAAGUACUAUUGAAACGCAUCAUGUUGCAUCAGGUUGAAGCUAAAGGCAAGUUUACCCCUAAUUAGCAUGGGGCGUUCUUGGUGAUGAGAGUGUUGUUCAAUAGUGCUUUGUAUUUAACAGAUGUAGAAGGCAAAUGUGUGGAUAUAGCUAUUAAUUUUGAUGCAGUCAAAAUAUAUUAUUUUUGAUUUCUUUGGUUUGUUUAAUUGUGUUUGUAUCUAGUAUGCUUUGAAGAUUGGAAUGAUGAAGUCAUUUUAUUAUGCUAUCUAAACACUUGAUCCUUUAUUACCCCUUUGAGCCUUAUUUAUUUUCUUCCAUAUCCCUCUUUUGGAAUAAGAAGCAGAGUAAAAAUAAAGAUAUAGAUAAAAAAAAGAGAGAGGAAAAGAGAAGAGAAAGAGAGGGAAAAAAGGGGAAAAGAGUAAAUAAAAAAAAAGAGAAAAAGAAAAAAAAAGAAAAAGACUGAAAAAAUAAAGCAAUUCCUAUGUCAUGAACUACGUUUGACCUGAUUCCUUUUAAGGAUACGUAGACAGCCUCACGGUUCGUUCCCAUCAAAAUUUAAAUUCAAAAGUUCCCAAACAAAGAAACUGGGGCAGAAGUUGUGGUUAUGUAAAAGAUUUGAUUCCAAAAGUUGUAAGUUUGAACCCAUUCAAUUUGGUUUGAUCCUUCGUGAUACCCUUUCUUUCUAACCCUAUCCAAAAGUCCACAUUACAGACCAAAAAAAGACCUUCCGACUAGUCUUCACGAGAUGCCAAGUCGAGCAAGUAGAGGUGAUUCAUAUCAAGGGCAACAUUCUAUUCUUAACAAGGAAAAUAAAAAUAAGAGAGUCUUAUCGGUAAAAACCUUCAAAAGCACUAUAAGGCGACGGUAAAUUGAGAGAAAGAACAAUAUGAGAGAGGCUUGAUGGCGAAAACCCUCCGGGCACGAAAAGUCAAAUAUCAUGAAUCAGAUUGGAAAAUCGGAGCAUUGAAACCCAAUUUCAUUGCAAAGAGGUACAGCAAGAGUUGAGCAUUAGAUUUACUUGACAAAUUAGGCCACUUAAUCCAAAGGUGCAGUCAUGGUCAUUAGAGUUAGUAUCCAUAGCUGAUAAGUUUCUACUUUAUAGUUUUCUUGUUAGGAAUCAUCUCUUUCCAUUGUCCUUCACUCUGUUCAUUUUGUCUUGUUUACUUCCUCUUCUUGAGUCUGUUUGGUCAAAACAAGUGUGAAAUGACACUUCAAAAUCUGCCACUAGCUUUCCAAUUGCACAAAGCGGAGUCUGGCUAGCAAAUCAAAGCAACAUAAGUCAGGAAAGAACAGUAUGUUCAUUGAGUUGGUAACAAUCGACGUGCUCUAGGAUUCAUGUGAAAUGCAAAGGUUUGGUAAAUGUCAGUUCACGAGCAAUGCAACAAAUACAGGGUGUUGGGUCUGAAUGGAGAGGAGUUAUUUUCUGUGAUAAGGGUGAGAGAAAUUGGUUAGUCAAUAAGCAAGUAAUAUCUUUCAAGGUGAAAUCAAGGUUAUCAUGGCAAGUGAAGGAGCAAUUGCUACAAAGUCAAGGCCACAAACCAACAACCAUGUUAAACUCACAAGUUUUCUUUUUCUGAAACAUGGACGAAAGCUACGUUCAUAUCAAAGCUUGGAAGCUUGAAAUUUGGUUGUAAUGCCCCAAUUCUGCUUACACAAAAGGCUAUUUAUAAGAUCACACAUUACCUCUAGGAGAAACACUGUGUAGUCUGGGUUUUCAAGUUAUAUUUUGUUGUAGGAGAUGCACUUCCCAAAUUGAGAGUUCAUUCAUAGGAGACGCGCAUCCUAGAUUAAGUCAUUGAAGUUACACCCCUAGGAGACACACUUCUUAGUUUGGGUCUUUCAAGAUACACCUAUAGGAGACGCACUUCCUAAAUUGAGAGUUCAUUUAUAGGAGAGUUCAUUCAUAGGAGACGCACUUUCUAGUUUGAGUGAUUGAAGUUUCACCCAUAGGAAAUGCACUUCCUAAAUUGAGAGUUAAUUCAUAGGAGACACACUUACUAAAUUAAGUCAUUGAAGUUACACCAUAAGGAGACGCACUGCCAUACCUCCUUUUUCACUAUACCCCGCAAGGGCGUAGAAGAGUUUUUCAAAUUAAAAGACAAUCGGAAUGGGAUUUGUUUUAAUUAUUUGAGAGUCGCCACUUGGGAGAUUAAUGGUGUCCCAAGUCACCAACUUAAUCCGGAACUGAGGAAAAUUAUGAUUGUUAACAGUUUGCGAACCAAAAAUCCGAGUAAGGAAUUCUUUUAACCCGGGAGAAGGUGUUAGGCAUUCUCGGGUUCCGUGGUUCUAGCACAGUCGCUCAACUGUUGUAUUUGAUUUUAUCUGAUUUCAAAACAUGUUCAAGCUUAUGUUUUUUUUUAUUUUGAACCGCUUUUAUUGUUAUUAUUUUUCACAAGAAUUUCCACAUCGUUAAAACGCGUCUCAAACCACGUCACAUCAAUGUACCCGUGGUUGUUAUCACUUUUGGACUCCGUUGAGAUUUAGAUUUGGGUCAAAUAAAUUUGCACCCGAAUUUUGGAAGGUAAUAUUUUUAAACACGUAUCUAAAGCAACUACGCUUUUGCACCUUUGCGAGGACCAGAAAAUUUACUGACCCUCGACGGAAACAACGGCUCUGCAAAAUGGGAUUCCGAACCUCGACAGCACCAGAAAACUCAAGAAAACUCCAACACGAACCUAAAAUUGGACUAUGUUUCUAACCUUGAAAAUCGAAACAAAGUGAAGACGAGAGGUCAAAAGAAGAUGCCGGGAUGGACAGUUCGUCCGAACUCCGACGCCUCUAUUUUAUUCUAUGUCUGUUUUCCUAGCUUCUAUCCUGCAUUUUUCUAUAUAUUUUAUGUGUGUGUGUGUUACGACAUUUCCGGCGAGUUCGCUGCUGUUAAAGAAGACAAAGAUGACAGGGUGUGAAGAAGAUGAUAAUCGGGGGGUGGGAGUUGUUUCGUUGUUGAAAAGUUGAGCUCCAGAUCUGUAUCCCUCCUUUUCUGCAAAUUUUUAGGACUUAUUUUAUCGGUAGAGUCUAAAUUUAGGUGUAUUUUUGUGUAUUUGUCAAUUAGUCCCUAAGUAUUGUGUGUUAAGUCCUAAAGUCUUUUUUAUUUAUUUUUUAUCCCAAAAAAGAGUCUAGAAGGGUCCCUAGACUACACAACGACUCUUUGUUUUUAUUUUUAUAUUUUAAAAAAUAAGAUAGAAAUACUACACAAUGCCAAAGCUAAUCCUAGUUAAUGAAACUAUAUAUUUUUUUUCAAAAUUAUAUAAAAAUAAAAAUAAGGUACUAUUUUUAUAUUUUUUUGAAAAUUCAUGAAAAAUGCAUAAUCUAAAAUCUUUUUUUUUAAUUUUCAUUUUUCUUGUACUAAAAUAAAGUAAAAGCGUCAAAAUUAAUUGAAAUAGCUCUAUUAGGCCUAAAUUAAAUAUUUACAUGCUAAAAUAUGAAAAUUUUUGGGGAGGGUCACAAAUCACAAGUCUACAACUGCCCCUCUUUGACUAGAAACGCGAAGAGUUUUCAGACAAAGAACGACUAGACAGGUUUUUUGACCCGACCCUUAUUUGGAGAGACUAGAACUAAAAGAAAAGGAGAAUGUGACUGAGCCAUGGUAUCUGAGCUUCCUAUAUAUCCUUGGCUAUAAAGGAAUCACACCACGUGUAGUUCAAAUUUGAGUGAGAUGAUGGAGUAUGCCGAUAUGGAGAGCCAAUCGAGGUGUCGUUCUAUCAAGGUUCCAGUCCGAGGUCCUGUUAUUACAUCAAAAUCAAAAAUGAAAAAUACUAACUAAGCAUGUCAACUAUGAGUUACAAGUAUCUAUGAGUCUUCUGAAGCUUGAUCUUGAGUCUUGGAUGGUACUUCAUGCGGACUCUGAUCUGAAUCUUGAUGCUUGUUUGCCGCAGGUGUUGGUUCAAUCUUCUUUUGCUCUUGAUUCAAGACCACGCGUGUAGUGCUCGUGACUUCAACCACGUCUUGAGCAGUUCACAUCAAUUAGUGCUUCUUCAUUUGCAUUCACUUUUGCCUUCUUUUCGUUUCUCUUCUUCUUUGAUUAUUUUGGAUUGUGACUAACUUUCGUUAAUCAUCUCGUACUGUUGACUUGCAUUCUUUCUGUAAGCCUCUUUUGUUGCUGACUUGAAUUGAAUUCUCAAGUGUUUCCCUUUCUCCAGGUGGAUGCCUGAUUGCUGAACUCGAAUUGUACUUUGAGAUGCUUUCCCUUUUAGGCAAUAUCCUAUUAUUCAGAAAGGUCCUGACAACUCCUAACAUUUAUGAACCUAAGGUAUUACUUCUCACAACAUCAUGUUAUUUUACAAGGGUAUUUGAACUACGUCCUAUUAUCCCGGAAGGUCCUGAAAACUCCUAAGGUAUUACUUAUACUACAUCAUCUUAUCUUACAAGGGUAUUUGAACUACGUCCUAUUAUCGAGGAAGGUCCUGAAAACUUCUACUUGAAUUUUAUCCUAAAUAUUCGAACUUCCAUUCCCCCAUGUUAUUCCUCAUUAUCUUGUAUUUUAACCAUACCACACUUGCAGUCAAACCAGAUUACUGCUUGUUUUUCCCUCAUGGAGAAUUCCUCCUGAACAACAAACUUUUUUGCCCUUGUUUCAAUCAAUGAAAAUUUUGUUAUUUUAAAAUGGUGGUUAGUUGAUGGCAUUCUUGAUGAAAAAUCCUUCCCCCUCAUUUCUUUGUGUUGACUGACUUCCUAGAACUGACCCUGAACCGCUUGACUUUCUGACCGAAUUUUAAAUUCCCUAACCUCUGACAACCUGAAUGUUUUGUACCCAUGCUGUUGUUUCAGUUUUCUAACCAUUUUGUUUGAACCCUUACAUUUCCACAACCUUUCCUAAUUAUUCCACCAAUGAAACUUCUGGCGACGUCCCAUAUUACACUUUACAUCAUGUUGUUGUCGACACGCUAUGAUCAUAUUAUGCUUUACUAUUUUCGGAAGAUGGUAGUGAGCUUUGAAAUCCUUUUCACUUGCAUUGAACAAAACUGGCGCUAAAACAUCUUAGAUAGAUAAAACCCCCAAAAGAAAAUGAAAUGCAAUGAUUUUUUGAGUUAAGGAUAAGAAGAAUCCAAAACCAGUAUGACUGAUUUACAAGAAAAGGAAAAGAAACUUAUCUGACGGGAAUAGCUGGUAUCAAUAGUCAUGACACACAUUUUGGAUUAAUCAACCCAAUCUGUCCAACUAACCAACUUUCAAUUGCCAUACUUUGUUGCCCCGGAAUUUCUAUCACUUGAUUACUUUACCCAAACCUUAACUUUGUUCAUCCUUCAGUGCCUCGAAAUAGUUUUCCCCGACAGACCUUUCUCAAUUAACCAAUUCACAACUUACUUUUGCCUCAAGGUGCCCGCAAGUAUUUUCACCAAUAAGACUCUCUCAUUUAUUUUUUCACUCAGCUCCUGUCGCCUUAUAGUGCAUGUAAAGGUUUUCACCAAUAAGACUCUCUCAUUUUCUACUUUGUUCUUCUUUCUUGAACUAGAGUGUUGCACCUGUUAUGAGUUCUUCUAACUGCUCAACUUGGCAUUUCUCAAAAAUAGAUCAGAAGGUCUUUCUUUGGAUCGUAACGUAGGCUUUUGGAUUGGGUUAGAAAGAAAGGGUAUAAAAAGCUCAAAAACAAUUCAACAUGGACUAACAAUUGCAACUUUCGGAAUUCAAUCUUUCGCAACAACCAUAACUUCUGCCCCAGUUUCUUGCUUGGGGAGUUUUGGAUUUUUAUUUUGGUAUGACUAAACCUCAGAGAGAAAUUGCCUACGUACCCUUUCAGGAUCAAGACAAACGUAGUUCACAUCAUAAAAACUCUAUUGUUGUGAUUUUCCUUCUCUUCUUUUCUUUUUUUCUUUCUUUUUCCUUCUUCAUUUUUCCUUUCUUUUCCUUCCUUUUCUUUCUUUUCUUUUUUUUUCUUUUCUUUGCUUUUCUUUUGCUUUUCUUUCCUUUUCUUUUUCUUUUCUUUUCUUGUUUUUUCUCUUUCAUUCCUUUCCUUUUCAUUUGCUUAUUUGCGGUACUUGCAUUUCUUAAUUGUGCCGUUGAUUUACAAAGAACGGUACGAAAGAAAAUAAACAUUGAUCAAAAGGGGUGACAAGGGAUAAAAGUGUUUGGAUAGCAGAACAAAAUGCCUUCGACAUUUCAAUCUUUAAAAUAUGCCAAAUACAAACAAAUACAAUCAAAAUAAAGAAAUCAUACAUAGUAUCUCUUGACCAUGUUUGAAUUAAUGGCCAUUGUUGCGACCAAAACACUCAUGCAAGUGUACGCGAUCGACAAGUAAUAUAGUAGUAAGUAGAGUAUCGUUCCCACGAGGAAUUAUAAUCAACUUCUUGGCUGAUAUUAACUGAAAUAAUUAUCAAUUUAUACUAUACUAUUACAAAAUAGUUAAAGAAUCAAUCUACAACUUAAUUAAUAAAUGCACAAUAAUUCAACACAAAAUUACUACACCAAGUUCACAAUAUGUUUAUAACAAUUUGGNNNNNNNNNNNNNNNNNNNNNNNNNNNNNNNNNNNNNNNNNNNNNNNNNNNNNNNNNNNNNNNNNNNNNNNNNNNNNNNNNNNNNNNNNNNNNNNNNNNNNNNNNNNNNNNNNNNNNNNNNNNNNNNNNNNNNNNNNNNNNNNNNNNNNNNNNNNNNNNNNNNNNNNNNNNNNNNNNNNNNNNNNNNNNNNNNNNNNNCUAUUCAAGUUAAAUUAAUACCUAUAUGUCUAUGGUAUUAAUAUUAGCAAGAAUGCAUUUACAACUCCUAUUCUUCAACCAAACAAGGCAAUUAAGUAUAGGUCUAUCUUAAUUGCGAAUUCUUCACCCGAUGCCCAGGAUUCAAAACUUGUUCUAUUUUAUUUUAUAUGCAACCAAGAAUUUCCUUUGUCAAGUUUAAUUCAAGAUCCGUAAAUAAUAUUUUACUGUUAGCUACAAAGUAAAAUAAUUUAGAUCAAAAUCAAAUAAAAAACUCAUAACAAUAAAUUCAAGAUCUUCAAUCUAAUCUUCAAGUAACAUAAUUAUCUAGCAUCCAUGACCCAAGAAUAUUAGAUGUCUUAGCUACUCAUAAUCAUACAAAAAUCAAGAAUAUCAAUAUUAAACAUACAAAAAACAAAAUACAAGAUGAAUGUUAGAUAAACUCUUUAAAUUGUUGCUCCAAUGUAGUGUUCUUCAGUUCUUUCCUUAGCUCCAAGAGACUUCAAUGGCCUUCUUCUCUCCAAAUCUUCUCUCUAAAAUCAAUAGUGAUUUUCCACUCCCCCUCAAUAAUUGUUGUUAAAAAUCUGAUCCUCCUCCAUAAUAGAAAGUUUCAUUAAUUAAUUUUGAGUGAAAAUCUAUGAUUUUCCCAUUUUGCCCUUCCAUAAUGUUUUUCCCCGGAUAGAAACGCGCGAAGCAACGCGUGAACAAUGAACUUCGCGCGAAACUUCGCGCGUCUGGACGAAUUUUUUCAACCAUUUCUUGUUUCUUGAUUUGUACGAACUCAACUCCGACGAAUUGUUUUUGCUCCCGAAUCAUUCCACAACAUUUCUAAAUAUUUAUAUAGGCUCCUUCUUCUACAAAUUAUAAGAAUCAAAACUUAAAUGCCUAUUUCUCAUCAAUUUCAUACAUUAUGUUAUUGUAAUUUAAUUAAAUGGAAGUACAAAUAAUGGUUAAAUCACUCAGAUUUCACCUAUUAUCAGCCAUUUCUACACAUUUUCCUGUCACAUCUGUCAGAUAUAGUUCACCAUUAGACAUCACUCUGAUUAUGACAAAACACCCGACACUUAAUCCAUUGCUUGUCCUCGAGCAAUUAACAUGCAUUUCACGUGUUGACAACAUUUUUAUCAAACAAUUUCUUGUAAUAACACAUGCUAACACUUAGGUUCCAAUUUAUCAUAUUCAACCUCAAGACAUGACUCCAAAGUGCCACGCAUUUUCAUAACUUGCUUACUUGCUCUAACACUAAGGUCAAAAAUUCUCCUUGCCUUCACAAAUCAAGUGCCCUCCCACAAAUAAUAUAGACUAGUUCAUCUCAAAAUAAUAAUCAAGAAUAUUCAGGAACUCAAAAUAGGAAGAAUUAUCUCACUGUCAGAAUUGAAAUUCAUGUGCAACAAAUUACAUACCAUAUGCUUGCCCCUCAGGAACUCAAAAUAGGAAGAAUUAACUCACUCUCAGAAUUGAAAUUCAUGUGGAACACAUGACAUACCAUAAGCUUGCCCCUAGUGUAAUACUCUACUAAUUGAGCAUAUUCAGUCAAGGAUCAAGUAGGACUUAAAUUGAUUGUAAUGUAGGCUAGGGAAAAGGGUGUGAAAAAUAUAGAAUGUAGUAAUUACACCUUUUUGAACACUUUCGUACAUACAACAUAUUUCAUAUUUUCAGCAUCACUCCUAUGUUAAACCAUCUCCAAUCUUUUUGAGAUUUCUACAUACUAACAACAAUUCCAUUCUCUUCAAGCACCUUAGAUUAGGGAAUGUGACUACUAAAAAUUCAUCCACUAUAUAUAUACACAUGAAUUAUUCUUCAUUCUUUUCUGUAUGUUUUUUGUUGAGAAAUUGAAUAUUUUUUUAAAAAAAAUAAACCAACCAAUCUCUUCUCAACUUCUUCAACAUUAAAACAACAUUAAGUGCUAAUGAGAAAUAGAGGUGCAAACAACUGAUAUAUUACAUAAAUUGGUAAUGUUUAUAACAUGGGUGCCAAAGAAAUAGGAUUAACGGCUCAAAAGGUUUGACUAGGAUAUAUACAAUUAGGUGGAAUUAAUUAUCAAACUGGUUCAACAAAGAAAUGCAUAUAUCAUCUCCUAAACUGAAUAAUGCUACUAUUUCGCUUUGCAAAACACUUGGGGGCAAGUUCUAGACAUCAAAUAUUAUGCACCGAAUAUUCCAUAAAUCCUUUAAAGAAAUGUCUAUAUCAUCUCCUGAACUGAAUAAUGCCACUAUUUCGCUUUUCAAAACACUUGGGGGCAAGUUCUAGACAUCAACUAUUAUACACAGAAUAUUCCAGCAAUCCUUNNNNNNNNNNNNNNNNNNNNNNNNNNNNNNNNNNNNNNNNNNNNNNNNNNNNNNNNNNNNNNNNNNNNNNNNNNNNNNNNNNNNNNNNNNCCUUACUCCCACAUUGGCACACAAUUUACUCAAGCUUGGAUCUUUAUCGACUCUCUAGUCAAAGCAGUUAAGUAGAGUCAUAAUUAUACAAUUUAAGGCACUUAUUUUAGGAUCAAGAACUGAGGUUGAACAUCACAAAUAAGGCAUAUUUCACUUUUCAAGCAUGUGCAUUUGAGUAGAACAACCGGUUAAGUUAGGAACAUUUUAUUCAUGCUAAAUAAAAAUUAUACUACACCUGGUUCAAAUACACCCUUGGAAAAGAACCAUGGCAUAAACAAAAACCUAGGAGAAAUUACUACACUACUUAUAAAGAAAAUCUUUUUGUCCUUUUUCUAAACACCCUCAAGAACUUUCUCUAAAGAAACCGUCAUCAGGCCGAUAUAUUUUAUUCACACCAACAUUUAAACAUAGCAAUAUUCAAAAUCACUCCACUAGUUAAACAUUACUAAACAAACUGCUUAACACAACAGUCAACUAAAAUUAAAACAAACCACAUAAUUAUCGAAAUACAUCAAAAACACACACAAACAAUCCUAAAAUCCAUGAUAAUUCUCAUAUCAACAUCAUCACCCCACACUUAAAGUCUAGGCAUGUACCCAUGACUGUCAUACGUUAAAACUAACUGAGAUAAAAAUACUUCCCCGACAUGUCAUUCUUGGCCUGAUACUGUGUCAGGGUUGACAUUACAAGCUCACCCCAGUGCUCUUAGCCAGCCCAUUAAUCUUUUCUCCGACUUGACUUGUCGGUCAGUGAUUUCCUCCACACGGGUGCUUAAUGUGUUCAUUGUUGUGUGCAACUCCCCUAUCUCUUGAUCCCAUGUGUUGUGGCCAAGCAUCCUAGCAGUUCCUGAAGAGGAUGAUGUUCUAGGCAAUGCAACAGCUGUGCAUUUUGUGUUUUGUGCUUGUUCUCCUCCUUCUGCGUCCAUGGGUUCAUUUUCUUCAUCAUUUGCCUCAGCAUCUGAACCAUCAUCAUCUCAUCCAUAAGCUGCAAAUUUUUUUGGUUUUAUCUUGAUUGACUUCUUGACCAUCACAUCCACAUCUUCAUUCUCCGGUACUUGUGCCUGCCUGCAAAGUUGAGUUACUAAAGAUGGAAAGAAAAACCCAUACAUCCGAUUUGGGAACCUCACAAACAUCUCAUCAUGUGUCACUUUAGCCACAUCAAAAUUCAAGUUCUCCAUGAAACACCAGAUUUUUGCUGCUCUAGGACCAUUAACCUCCGUGGUGUUCAUUGAUGGAAGAAUUCUAUUGUUGAUGACAUAAAGCCAGUUCUUGGCUUCUUGAGUCAGAGCUGAUGAGUGGAAUUUUUCACCGUAGUCCAACCAUUCCACCUCCACUCAAGGGGUGCAAAUCUUUUGAAAGAACCUAUUCCACUUUGUGUCAUUUGGAGCCUUUGCAUAUUCAUAGAAAUCAUCUUCUUCUGGUACAGGGUCAGGCAGAUUGUAGAUUGCUCGAAUUGCCUCAAUGGAGGCAUCAACAGUCCUUCUUCGUACUGUGACAACAUUGUUUUCAUGAUCAGGUAGAUUCGCGUAAAAUUCGCGAACUACCGUUUCAUUCGCCUUCCCUGGUUCAUUAAUGCAGGUUUGAAGUCCUCGCUCAAUUAACCUGUUGUGCAUAUUAGGGCAUAUUUCCCGAAGCUUUCUAACAUCAAUGCCCCUUUCAGGAAUUGGUUUCUUCAUUUCUUUGGUAUUGAAGUGAGUUUGAGCGUUGGGUGAAGUAAACCUGUUGACGUCAUACGUUGAUGCAGAAACUGCCCUUUGGCGGCUAGAUGAUGCACUUGCUAUCGAACGCUUCUUAGGUUCCAUAAUUCCUACAAAACAAUCACACAAUACUUAGUCCAAUAUAGGUAAUGUGACACAAAGCGGUUACUCAUACUUCACUCGCAAAGUUAGCCACAAUUGCACUAUAAAACUCUUUGAGGACUUUUUACAAACACCUUGUGUGCAAGCAUUUAUCAUCCUUAUUUCUAAGGAUUUGGUUAGAGAUUUCCCAUCCAAUUUUCAGCUAUAACCAAAUCACAUCCUAUCCAUUCCAUAUAUAUAGCAAUUUAACCCCACACUUAUCUCAAAAUGUGUCAAAAUCUAGUCACAAUAUACAUGUAUUCUAAGUUAUAACAUAGAACUAACACAAACUCUAAAAAAUAUGUUAUGAACACAAUAGAAUCUAUAAUUCGUAUCAUAUAUAUCUACUAUAUACUAUGAACAACAAAGGAAAUAAUUAUCUAAACAAAAUAAUAACAAAAACAGAAGAAAGAGAGCCAAAACAUUUAGGGUUCUCAUGUUAUGAAAAAAAUUAAAUCUAUAAUUUGUAUCAUAUAUAUCUACUAUAUACUAUGAACAACAAAGGAAAUAAUUAUCUAAACAAAAUAAGAACAAAAACAGAAGAAAGAGAACCAAAAAUUUUAGGGUUCUUACCUUUGUUUGGGAUGGGUUUGAUUUGGAUUAAGGAUGAAGAGAAUUAGGUUGAACAAGAAUAGAUUUUAGUUGAGGGUUUAUUGAAGAGAAUGAAGAAGUAGAGUGAUUUUUAAGUUAGAAAAAUGAAAGAAGAAAAAUAUAUACCAUAGAAUGCAAACCCGACCCAGACGCGCGAAGUUUCGCGUGAAGUAAAACUUAGAGCGUUUCUUUGCGCGUUUUGAAUAUCAUUCUGCCUCAAUCACGCGAAGUUCGCGCGAAGUUUUUAUUUCGUGUGAUUCUUCGCGUAUCUGGGUGUAGCGUUUGGCAAAAAAAUUUUUUUUACACAUACCUUAACCUUCUCCAUUGUUUUCCUGCAUUGAUUUAUACACAGUAACAAUCAUUAGAAAAAAAAAUCAUCUUUGGGUUGCCUCCCAACCAGGGCCUUAUUUCGAGUCGCGACACGACUCCAUAAUUUAUUGUACAUCAUUCAAGUCCACUGAGGUCUUGUGACGAUUAACGUCACCACCCCAGUAGUGUUUUUCACGCUUCCCAGUCACCACAAAUGUACCACUUGAGUAUACGUUCCUUAAUUCAAUUGUUCCAUGAGGAGUCACACUUACCACCACAAACGGGCCUGCCCAACAGGACUUAAGUUUUCCAGGAAAAAGUUUCAGCCUUGAAUUAAAUAGAGGAACUUCUUGAUCCGGCUCACACUCACGAUGUUGAAUGUGCCUAUCAUUCCACCUCUUGGUCUUUUUUUGGGUACAACUUGGCAUUUUCAUAGGCAUGCAAUCUAAACUAAUCAAGUUCAUUGAGUUGUAACAUCCUUUUUUCACCGGCUAAAUACAUAUCCAUGUUUAACUUUUUGAUUGCCCAAUAAGCUUUGUGUUCUAACUCAACAGGUAAAUGACAUGAUUUCCCAUAUACUUACAUGUAUGGAGAAGUACCAAUUGGAUUCUUGUAUGUUGUUAGGUAAGCCAACAAAGCGUCUUCUAAUUUAGCCGACCAAUCCUUUCUAUUGCAUUGACUAUUUUCUCCAAGAUUUGUUUAAUAUCCCUGUUAGACACCUCGACUUGACCACUCGUCUAAGGGUGAUAUGCAGUAGCAAACUUGUGUCUAACUCCGUAUUUGAACAAAACAUUUUUUAGUAGUUUGUUGCAAAAGUGUGUGCCUCCAUCACUUAUCAACACUCUGGGAGUCCCAAAGCGUGUGAAAAUGUAUUUCUUUACAAAAUUCACUACAACUUUUGCAUCAUUUGCUUGAAGAGCAAUGGCCUCAAUCCACUUAGAUAUAUAAUCAAGUGCAACCAAAAUAUAUCUGUUUCCAUUGGAAUAUGGAAAUGGCUCUAUGAAAUCAAUUCCCCAUACAUCAAAUAUCUCUACUGCCAAAAUAUUUUGUAACGGCAUCUCGUUUUUCUUUGUAAUUGUACCUGUCCUUUGACACCUGUCACAAUUUUUAACAAAAGAAUGUGCAUCUUUAAAUAAUUUUGGCCAGUAAAAACAUGAUUGUAGAACCUUUUGUGAUGUUCUGUCUCCACCAUGAUGACCUCCAUAAGGAGAAGAAUGACAGUUUUGCAAUAUUGCGUGCAUCUCCUUCUCAGGGACACACCUUCUUACCAAUUGAUAUGCGCAUUGCUUGUAUAGAAAAGGCUCAUUCCACAUGUAAAAUCUCACAUCAUGUAAGAAUCUUCAUCUUUGAUCAGCUUUGAACUGUGGUGGAGUUACCCCGCUUGCUAUGAAAUUUACAUAAUCUGCAUACCAUGGGGUUUCAUCCGAGGUGAUUUCUAGUAACUGUUUAUCUGGAAAUGUUUCCUUUAUUAAUUCCCCUUUAAUUACACGGCCUUGGUUUUCCAUUCUGGAUAAAUGAUCUGCAAUCUGAUUCUCUGUGCAUUUUCGAUCUCUAAUCUCCAAAUCAGACUCCUGCAAAAGAAGAGCCCAUCGAAUUAAUCUUGGUUUGGCAUCUUUCUUUGAAAAUAAAUACCUGAUGGCGGAGUGGUCUGUGUAGACUAAGACUUUGGUUUGCACUAGAUAGGACCUGAAUUUGUCAAAUGCACACACUACCGCAAGCAACUCUUUUUCUGUGACAGUAUAAUUCAAUUGAGCUGGAUUAAGAGUUCUGCUUGCAUAAUGAAUGGAGUGAAGGAUGUUAUCCUUUCGCUAUCCCAAAAUAGCUCCAAUGGCUAUGUCACUGGCAUCACACAUAAACUCAAAUGGGAGUUCCCAAUCUGGAGCAAUGAUAAUUGGUGCAGUAACUAGUCUUCUUUUUAGAUCAUCAAAUGCUUUCAAAAAAGCAUCAUCAAACUUGAAGGAUGUAUCUUUUUCAAGAACCCUACACAAAGGAGAAGAAAUUUUCGAAAAAUCUUUAAUAAACCUACGAUGAAAUCCUGCAUGCCCUAAGAAACUGUGGAUGCCUGACAGAUAUUGGUGGAGGCAAAUUUUCAAUUGCUUCUACAUUUUCCUUGUCUACUUGCAGACCGUCCUUUGACACUUUGUGUCCCAAUACUAUACCCUCCCGCACCAUAAAAUGGCACUUUUCCCAGUUUAGCAUGAGAUUAGUCUCUUCACACCUGGCAAUCACUUUAUCAAGGUUCAUUAAACAAUCGUCGAAAGAACAACUAAAAACAGAGAAGUCAUCCAUGAAAACUUCUACAAAUCUCUCAACAUAUCAGUAAAGAUGGCCAUCAUACACCUUUGAAAAGUCGCAGGUGCAUUACAAAGACCAAAUGGCAUUCUUUUGAACGCAUAUGUACCAUAAGGACACGUAAAAGUAGUCUUUUCUUGGUCCUCUAGCUAUAGUAAUUUUAUUAUACCCAGAGUAACCAUCGAGGAAGCAGUAAUACUCCUGGCCAGCCAACCUACCAAGCAUUUCGUCGAGGAAUGGGAGGGGAAAGUGGUCUUUUCGGGUAGCAUUGCUCAAUUUUCUGUAGUCAAUACAAAUUCUCCAUCCUGUUACAGUUCUUAUUGGAAUCAAGUCAUUGUUUUCAUUUACCACCACAGCCAUUCCCCCUUUCUUGGGAACACAUUGCACAGGACUCACCCAUUCACUGUCAGAGAUAGGGAAUAUUAUACCUGCAUCAAGCCAUUUGAUCACCUCUUUUCUUACCACCUCUUUCACGUUGGGAUUUAGGCAACGUUGUUGUUCUAUGCUUGGCUUGUUUCCUUCCUUCAUGAGAAUCUUGUGCAUGCAGAAAGUCGGACUUAUACCUUUGAUGUCGGACAUUGUCCACCCAAUUGCUUUCGUACGCUCUCUCAAUACUCUCAACAAUUUUUGCUCCUACAAUUUAGAUAAACCAGAGGAAAUAAUAACAGGUAAAGUAUCAGAAUUACCCAAAUAAGCAUAAAGAAGAUGAGAAGGUAAAGGUUUCAAUUCAAGUUUUGGAGCUUCUUCAAUUGAGGAUUUCGGAGGUGGGCCAUCUGGCCUGUUCAACGAUUCAAAAGGAAUUACUCCUCUCAGAUAUUUAUAAGAUGCAUUCAGAAUAUGCUUCAUUUCUUCAACCUCAUCAUCAAUCUCCAAACUCUCAAACAAUACAAUCGCCUUCUCUAAAGAAUCUUUCAAACAAACACUUGCGGUUAUGAGUUUCUCAUCCAUCUCCAUGACAGAGAUCAUGGAUAAUUCUUCAUAAUGGUGAGGAAGUUGCAGAGCCGGUUAUGAGUUUCUCAUCCUCUCCAUGACAGAGAUCAUGGACAAUUCUUCAUAAUGGUGAGCAAGUUGCAGAGCUUUAUAUAUAUUAAACACAGCUUCCUCGUUGUCAACUCUCAUUAUCAUUUUACCUUCCGUGACUUUAAUUACAGCAUCACCAGUGGCUAAAAGAGGUCUUCCUAAAAUAAUAGGAACUUUUUCAUUAGCUUCGAAAUCCAAAAUGAUAAAAUCGGCAGGAAAUUUAAAUUUUCUGAUUUUUAACAACACAUCUUCAAUUACUCCUUUUGGAUAAGCUAUGGACCUGUCUGCAAGUUGCAACAUAAUAGUAGUAGGUUUUAGAUCUCCCAAACCCAAUUGCUUGUACCAGGACAACGACAUCAAAUUUAUACUUGCUCCCAAGUCACAAAGUGCAUGGCCUACAUCAACAUUGCGAAUUCUCACUGGUAUAGUAAAGUUGCCUAGAUCCUUAAGCUUUUGAGGAAGCUUAUUUUGAACCCUCGAAGUGCACUCCUCAGUAAGUGCAACUGUUUCAAACUCAGUCAAUCUUCUUUUGUUCACCACAAUAUCUUUCAAGUAUUUAGCAUUCUUUGGAAUGUCUCGAAUCGCAUCUACCAAAGGAAUAUUCAAUUGAAUUUGAUUUAACAUAGUGAGAAAUUUAAUUCUUCUUUUACAACCUUAGGGGAAAUGGUGGUGGUGGUCUUGGAAUAUUCACAGGUGCUGGCAUUGUAUCAUCUUUCUUUUCCUCUUGUGUUGCUUUGGGAAUUAAUUCACCUUCAGGUAUUUGCUUGUUCCUUUUCUUCGAUGUAACUUCUUCUAAAUCCCUUCAUGUUCUCAAUGUAAUUGCAGUCACUUGAGGAUUCUUUUCUGUAUCACCCGGAAGAGCACCUGCCGGUCUAGUAUUUUGAUUUGCAGCUAGUUGUCCCAUUUGCCUUUCAAGAUUUCUGAAGUCCGUUAUGAGUUUUUGAUUAUCUUGCGAUAAUUUUUCAACAAAUCACUCGUACUUUCCUCUACUUGCUGUGGCGGCCUUUGAGGUUGAUUAAAAUUUCCUUGGGGUCUAAAUUGAUUCUGAUUUUGUUGAUUUCCACCCCAAGAGAAACUAGGAUGAUCCUCCAAUGUGGGUUGUAAUUGUUUCCAUAUUUAGCUUGUUGAUUCAUCAGACCUCUGUUUUGUUGCCCAACAUAAUAAAUAGUUUCAGGAUUCACGGGGCACAUGUAAUUCGUGUGAUUGUCACCACACACUUCACAACAAACAGACAUUUGUCGAAUCUGCUGCAUUGGUUGUGAUGGUCCCAUUGUCAUUCUGGCCAUUUGAUUUGCCAAUUUUGCUAAAUCUGGUCUCAUGGCGGAAAUGUCAUCCAGUUCAAGUAACCCUGCUUUCUGUUUCAUUGCUCUCCUUGGUUCUCCUUCACCUUGACAAUUAUGAUCACUAGCAGUAAAGUUAUUCAGCAGAAGUUGUAUUUCAUUGUAUGGUUUUGCCAUGCAACUACCUCCACAAGCUGAAUCUAGAUUCAUUCAAUUAUGAUCAUUAGUAGUAAAAUUAUUCAUCAUAAGUUGUAUUUCACUGUAUGGUUUUGCCAUGCAACUACCUCCACAAGCUGAAUCAAAAUUCAUUUUGGAAGUUUCGUCUAAACCAUCAGCAAAAUUAUGGCCUAAUAAUUCAUCAGUUUGACAAUGAUGAGGACAAUAUUGAAGUAGUUUCUUGUAUCUCUCCCAAGCUUGGCGAAGAGUUUCACCAUCACGUUGUUGAAACCCAAGAAUCUGACUCCGCAAAAACUUUGUCUUUUUGGUGGGGAAAAACUUAAUUAGGAAUUUCUUUGCUAGAUCAUCCAAGUUGUGGAUUGAAUUAGCGGGUUCUUUCUGCAAACAUUCUCUAGCUUUCCCCAACAAUGAAAAAGGAAAUAAGGUCAGCCUGACAUAAUCCUUGGAAACAUUCGGAUAGUUGUAGGUACCCGUUAUUUCCAAAAAAAAAUUGAAUAUGCCUUUGUGGGUCUUCAUGAGAUAGACCAACAUAUUGCCCAGUGGACUGUAUCAGCUGCACCAUGUACUGUUUAAUCUCAAAAUGACCGGUGAUUUCAGGUUUCACAAUAACCUGAGUCAUAUUAGCAAGGUUUGGCCUUGCUGCUUCUAUCACCGCACGUUCUUGAUUACCUGCCAUCACUGUUGGCUGUGGUUGAACUUGAAUGUCCAACUCUGUUUCUGUUCUAUUUCUAGCUUCCCACUCCCUCCUUUUCUAUGAAUUGUUCUUUCAAUUUCAGGAUCAAAUGGAAAGAGGUUGUUUGUGCUUCUACUCCUCUGCAUUCAAGAGAAGAGCAUGCGCAACACAAACAAUGUAGAUGAAAAUUUUUAUAUUCUUAUCAACAACUAAUAAAAUAUUAAAACAGUCAAGUAGCUAAUUUCAAACUCCCUUGCAACGACGCCAAAAACUUGUUGCGACAAAAACACAAACGCAAGUGUAUGUGAUCGGCAAGUAAUAUAGUAGUAAGUAGAGUAUCAUUCCCACAGGGAAUUAUAAUCAAAUUCUUGACUUAUAUUAACUGAAAUAAUUAUCAAUUUAUUCUAUACUAAUACAAAAUAGUUAAAGAACCAAUUUACAACUUAAUUAAUAAAUGCAAAAUAAUUCAACAUAAAAUUACUACACCAAGUUCACAAUAUGUUUAUAACAAUUUGGAUAAAUAUAUUCCUGGGUCAUGGACUUGUAAGAAAUUAUGCUACUAUAUUAGCUUAAAAUUGAUUUAUCGAAUUAUCUGGUUAUUGAUUAUAGGGUUAAUAAUAUUCAUAAGAAUAUUUCGAGUUCAUAUGCAUCUAUUCAAGGUAAAUUAAUACCUAUAUGCCUAUGGUAUUAAUAUUAGCAAGAAUGCAUUUACAACUCCUAUUCUUCAACCAAACAAGGCAAUUAAGUAUAUGUCUAUCUUAAUUGCGAAUUCUUCACCCAUUUACAACUCCUAUUCUUCAACCAAACAAGGCAAUUAAGCAUAUGCCUAUCUUAUUUGCGAAUUCUUCACCCGAUGCCCAGGAUUAAAAACUUGUUUUAUUUUAUUUUAUAUGCAACCAAGAAUUUUCUUUGUCAAGAUUAAUUCAAGAUCCGCAAAUACUAAUUUACUGUUAGCUACGCAGUAAAAUAAUAUAGAUGAAAAUCAAAUAAAUAACCCAUAGUAAUAAAUUCAAGAUCUUCAAUCUAAGCUUCAAGUAUAAUUAUCUAGAAUCCAUGACCCAAGAAUAUUAGAAGUCUUAGCUACUCAUAAUCAUACAAAAAUCAAUAUUAAUAUUAAACAUACUAAAAACAAAAUACAAGAUGAAGGUUUAGAUAAACUCUUUAAAUUGUUGCUCCAAGGUAGUGUUCUUCAAUUCUUUCCUUAGCUCCAAGAGACUUCAAUGGGUUUCUUCUCUUCAAAUCUUCUCUCUAAAAUCAAUUGUGAUUUUCCACUCCCCCUCAAUAAUUAUUAUCUUCUUCUCUCCAAAUCUUCUCUCUAAAAUCAAUAGUGAUUUUGCACUCCCCCUCAAUAAUUGUUGUUAAAAAUCUUAUCCUCCUCCAUAAUAGAAAGUUGCAUUAAUUAAUUUUGAGUGGAAAUCUGUGAGUUUCCCAUUUUACCCUUCCAUAAUGUUUUUCCCUGGAUAGAAACGUGCGAAUAAUGAACUUCGCGCGAAACUUCACGCGUCUGGAAGAAAUUUUUCAACCAUUUCUUGUUUCUUGAUUUGUACGAACUCAACUCCAAAGAAUUGUUUUUGCUCUCGAAUCAUUCCAUCACAUUUCUAAAUAUUGAUAUAGGCUCCUUUCUCUGCAAAAUAUAAGUAUCACAAAUUAAAUGCCUAUUUCUCAUCAAUUUCAUACAUUAUGUUAUUGUAAUUUAAUUAAAUGGAAGUACAAAUAAUGGUUAAAUCACUCAGAUUUCACCUAUUAUCAGCCAUUUCUACACAUUUUCCUGUCACAUCUGUCAGAUAUAGUUCACCAUUAGACAUCACUCUGAUUAUGACAAACGGCCCCGGCCAGUUUGGAGCGAACUUUCCUUUUGCUUCAGCCCAAUGAGGCAAAAUGCGCCUCAGCACUAACUGUCCGACUUCGAACUUCCUCGGAUGCACUUUCUUGUUGUAUGCUCUUGUCAUUCUUCUUUGGUACAGUUGACCAUGACACACUGAUGCUAACCUUUUCUCGUCAAUCAGACUCAAUUGUUGAAGAUGGAUUUUCACCCAAUUGUCAUCAUCGAUCUUAGCCUCCGCAAUGAUUCGAAGAGAUGGGAUUUCCACUUCGGUGGGUAUUACUGCCUCGGUUCCAUACACCAAUGAAUAAGGGGUUGCUCCCACGGAAGUACGAAUAGUGGUGCGGCACCCUAACAAUGCAAAAGGCAACUUUUUAUGCCACUGUCUCGGCCCUUCUACCAUAUUCUGUAGUAUUUUCUUUAUAUUCUUGUUGGCUCCCUCAACUGCACCAUUUGCCUUAGGGUGGUAUGGAAUAGAAUGACGAUUAGUAUUCUUGAAUUGCUCAUAGGUCUCCUUCAUCAAAUAACUAUUAAGAUUAGAUCCAUUGUCUGUAAUAAUCACCUUCGGUAUUUCAAACCGAUAGAUAAUGUUUGAAUACACAAAAUCGACCACCAUUUUCUUGGUCACGGAGUUGAAUGCACCCAAUUGGUAAAAUAAUCUAUGGCCACAAAAAUGAACCUGUGCUCAUUUGACGCUGCUGGACUAUUAGGCCCAAUAACAUCCAUGCCCCAUGCAACAAAAGGCCAAGGUGGGGACAUCGUGUGCAGUUCUGAUGGCAGAGUAUGAAUCAAAUCUCCAUGCACUUGGCACUUAUUUGCAUACGAAACUGAUACAAUCCCGCUCCAUAGUAAGCCAAUAAUAACAUGCUGUAGAAUCUUCUUUGCUAGAACAUACCCACUCAUGUGCGGUCAAAAAACCCCGGAAUAUACCUCAGUCAUGAUAGAUGUGGCUUGCCUUGAAUCCAUGCAUCUCAACAGCCCCAGAUAUUGAGUAAUUUUGUAAAAAACUCCUCCACUAAGGAAAAACCCUCUUGCCAAUCGUCGAAUCAUUCUUUUCUAAUCACUGUUGGGCUGUACCGGGUACACCCCCCUCCUGAUAUAUUCCAUGAUGUCAUGAAACCACGGCUCACUGUCGAGUUCCUCUUCUACCACAUAAUAAUAAACAUGUUGAUCACGGACCUGAAUCUGCAAAGGGUCCACAUAAGCCUUAUCCGGAUGAUGUAACACUGACGCCAAAGUAGCCAAAGCAUCGACAACUUCAUUACCAAUCCUUGGGAUGUGCCUAAAAUCUAUUGACUGAAAACGUUGAUAGAGCUCAUGCAAACAUUGCCCGUAUGGUAUAAGCUUCAAAUCAUGUGUUUCCCAUUCUCCUUGAAUUUGGUGUACCAGUAGGUCCGAGUCACCCAUGACCAAGACUUCUUGGACGCCCAUAUCUACAGCUAAUCUUAGACCCAAGAUACAUGCCUCAUAUUCCGCCAUGUUGUUCGUACAGUAAAAAUGAAGUUGAGCCGUAACAGGGUAGUGCUGACCUGUUUCGGAAAUAAGUACCUCUCCUAUUCCAAUGCCUUUCAUGUUUGCAGCCCCAUCAAAGAAAAGUUUUCAUCCCGGCUUCUCAACUUGUUCCAACGCAUCAAUGUGCAUCGCCUCUUCAUCAGGGAAAUAAGUCUUCAACGGCUCAUAAUCUUCAUUAACUGGAUUCCCGGCCAAAUGAUCAACCAACCCUGUGCUUUCAUCGUAGUCCGGGUAACAUAGAUAAUGUCGAACUCCGUAAGCAAGAUUUGCCACUUUGCAAGCCUUCCUGUGGGGAUGGGCUUCUAAAAAAUAUACUUUAAUGGAUCCAAGAAAGAUAUAAUGUAAGUAGUGUAGGACGACAAAUAAUGUUUCAACUUCUGUGCCACCCAAGUUAGGGCGUAACAUGUCCUCUCCAGGUGAGUAUACUUAAACUCAUAAGAUGUGACUUCUUACUGAGAUAAUAGAUAGCCUGAUCUUUUCUGCCAGUAACAUCAUGCUGUCUGAGUACGCAGCCGAGAAUUAUCCAAAACUGUCAAAUAUAGAAUCAAAGGCCUCCUAAGUUCUGUAGGACCAACACGGGUGGACUCAACAAAUACCCCUUUAUCCUAUCAAAAUCCUUCUGACAUUCGACCAUCCAUUUGAUUGCAACAUCUUUCUUUAACAGUUUGAAAAUGGGCUCACAAGUCAUCGUGAGCUGAGCAAUGAACCUGCUAAUGUAAUUCAAUCUCCCCAACAAGCUCAUCACCUCAGUUUUGUUUCUCGGAAGUGGCAAUUCCUAAAUGGCCUUAAUCUUCGACGGAUCUAGUUCAAUACCCCAACGACUCACAAUAAAUCCCAAGAACUUCCCAGACCCCAAAGGCACACUUUGCAGGAUUAAGCUCUAGAUUGUACCUGCAAAGCCUUUGAAAGAACUUUCUCAGAUCUCUGACAUGGUCAAACUGCUGUCUACAUUUCAUAAUCACAUCAUCCACGUACACCUUUCCUUGUGUAUCAUAUCAUGGAAUAUUAUUGUCAUUUCUCUCAUAUAGGUCGCCCCAGCAUUUGUCAAACCAAAUGGCAAGACCCGAUAACAGUACAUUCCCCACGGCAUGAUGAAUGCCAUCUUUUCUGCAUCCUCCUCAUCCAUUAAGAUCUGAUGAUAACCCACGUAACAAUCUACAAAAGAACCAAUCUCAUGCUUGGUGCAAUUGUCAAUCAAUAUAUUGAUGUUUGAAAAUGGAAAAUUAUCUUUUGGACUCGCCUUAUUGAGAUCACGAUAAUCAACACACACCCUGGUUUUGCCAUCCUUCUUCGGCACAGGCACAAUGUUAGCUAACCAGGUAGGAUACCUCGUGACCCGAAUGACUUUCGCUUCAAACUGUUUGGUAAUCUUUUCUUUAAUCUUUACACUUAUGUCUAUUUUGAAUUUUCUCAACCUCUGCUUGACAGGAGGGAGUGUGGGGUCAGUGGGCGAUUUGUGAACCACCAAAUCAGUAGUUAGACCCGGCAUGUCAUCAUAAGACAAUGCAAAAAUAUCCUUGUAUUCAAAGAACGCUUUGAUUAUUUCCUCCUUGAGUUGUGGCUCCAGAUGAACACUUAUUUUAGUUUCGUGGACAUUAUCUCGGUCCCCUAGGUUAAUGCUUUUGUGUCAUUUAGGUUAGGUUUGGGUUUUUCCUCAAAGUGACUUAAUUCCUUACUGAUUUCUUCAUAGGCCUCAUAAUCAUCAUAUUCCACCUCAUCAUCACACUCGAUUUCUUGUAUUAUUAUUUCUGAGUUAGAUUGGCUUUUAAAACUGGGCCGAAGAUUCCUCAUGUAUAUCAUGUCAUUGAUAUCAGCAUAAAAAGAACUGUACAGAAAAGAAAUGGAAAAUAGAAACAAAAAUAGGAAUGAAGAAAAAAGAAAAAUUGCAUUUCAUUGAAUGUAAAGAUAACAGGGUUUAAGCUCAUCCAAACAGACGGAACAUAGAAACUAAAUUACAAACCCUGGAAUAAUUCAGGUGAACAAAAAGAAAACAAAACCCACUACUGUCGACGCCCCCUUUUUCCCUCCUUAAAAGAAAGCGAAAUCGGGUUUGCAACAUUAUGGGAAAAGCAACUAUAUUUCUCAUUUGGGAAUUGGGUUAUGGAUUUGGAAGAGUCGCUACCUAAUGAUUAUAGUGCAUUAGGACACUUAAGAGAGAUUAUUUUGAAAAGAAAAUUAGAGUUCGGGUAAGGGCUUGAGAUUAUGUCGAGGGAAGGUGUUAGGCACCUCUCAAGAUCCACUAGUGUGGUUCCCGGUCGUGUUAAUUGUGACUUUAUGAAAGUUGAAGCACUUAAGCAAGUAAGGCUCACAAAUAUAGCAUUCAUAUAACUUAAAAAAAAGCUUUGAAGAAGAAAGAGGUACGCAAAUUUAAAAUAAAAUGAAAGAAAGUUGAUUUAAAAAAAUAUUACUAUGAAAGAACAUUUGAAUAAAACAAGCAAUAGGGAGAAGGGUCAUAGGUUUAACUACAAUAUGGAUUAUUCGAUACAAUAUCCACACAUAUUCCCAAAGGGGGUAGCUUUAUGAUAUUAUCGCAUCGUCAUCAGCUCCAUAUUCUACCCUUCGUUGAGGUAUUUAAAUGCGUUGGUAUCGUUUACUUGUUGCAUGCUAAUACUUGUCCCAACCUGUUUGUCCUGGGGUAUUAGGACUUCUAAUCCUAAGAAUGGGGUGAGAGAGAUAGGGUAUAUAUGGAGUUUCAAAGGUAAAAAAUACUAAGACCACAAUCAAAACACAUAGCACAUAAAAGGUAUGCAGAUAAGACAAUUAAAGGAUCAGAUAAACCCCGUAACAUUACAAGCAACUAUUUUAAAAUGACUUCAAGUACUGAUUUGGUCUUUAAAAGAGGUUAAAGAGCAGCUAGACUAGCUUGACUCAUGGAAGUUAGAUAGAAAAUCUGCUUUGCGCCCUCCGAGCCCGUUUUAGAAACUGACAGUUUUUUAAAAUCAUUUAAUCUUAGAGGAGAACAUUAGCUUCAGCCAUAGGUCUGUCGAAAAGAGAGUUGAAGUUGCAGCAAGGUUUAGGAAUGACUUACAAUUUAGACGGACAGUUGAAUACAAAAGGAUGCAAGAGGAAAAAAUUUAAAAGACCUUGAAGCAUUAAACUUAGGCAGGCAGAAUGUUUGAAACCAUCAUUUUAAAGGGACAUUACAAGUUCAAAGUAAUGUGAAAGGGGCAGACCUGGGCCCAAUUUAAAAGUAAACAGACUGAAAUGUUUUUAAGCACUGGACAUACACAUUGAUCUUUGUUCGUUACUGCUUUUUACAAGUUUGGACGACCUGCUAUUUUGCCUAGCGUUUAUAUGGUUCCUAUAGGCAUAUUUUCUAGGUGAGAUUAUAAGAAUGCAAACUUAUAAGCAUGGUUUCUAUAUGAGACUAUAAGAAUGCAGACCUAUAGACAUGAUGUCUAUUAUGAAGUUGAUGCAAUAACGAAAAGCCUAUAGACAUGACAUCUAUAUGAGAUGCAAGAAAGUAAACCCUUAUAUACAUGGUAACUAUAUGAUAUUGAUGCAAGAAGUAAAUCCCUAUAAGCAUGAUAUCUACAUGAGAUGAUGCAAAAAGUAAAAUCCUAUAGCCAUGGUAACUAUAUGAGAUAAUGCAAGAAAGUUAAACCCCUAUAAGCAUGAUAUCUACAUGAGAUGAUGCCAAAAAGUAAAACCCCAUAGCCAUGGUAACUAUAUGAGAUAACGCAAGAAAGGUAAACCCCUCACAUAUUCCCUUUCACUAGAUCCCCAAGUUCUUUUAUUACAAGUUAUUUACAAGAAUCUGGACCACAAAUAACAUUAAAGAAAAUAAAUAAUACAUCAAUACUACAACAGGCCCGAAGAAGUGCAAAGCAACUUUAAUGUCCAACGUAUGCCCUUUACCAAAUCCUGGCUCCCAAAUCCGAGGCCUUCUCUUUAGAGUAAUGCAGGUGUGGAAUUACUAGCCCCAAGGCAUCCAAGUUCAUAGGAGACUCCGGGUCCCUAAGCAUGGCUUACUAAGGGGGAAGUAGGGCUUAAAGCACUAAGAAUAAGUGUAAAGGUGAUAGAUUAGAGGAAGACCAUUGUAGGAGGUGGCAUACCUAGCCUAUGGAGUGAGGCUGGCACACCCCUAACCACUUACAAAGGUUAACAAACAGGCAUACCUAGCCUAUGGAGUGAGGCUGGCACACCCCUAACCACUUACAAAGGCUAACAAACAGGAGCAGACUUGUAAACAAGUCAUACUAGGGCAUGUAUGGUGAUUAGGACACCAACAGGCCUUUGUCAAGGCUCUAACACAUAAUAAGGGGGAAGGGGAUGGGAUUACUUUGAGAAUAGGUUGUUGACAACAUUAGUUCUAAACUAGGAGUGGCAAUGAGAUGCCACCCUAACCCAGAACACACUCUCAUUCAGACAAGGAUCAUGCAAAAAGGAGUCACAUAAGUAUAUAAGACAAAAUUAAAAGGGAUUCCGGGGAAAGGGGGUGUAUAAGAACUCAACCCAUAUAAUGAACAAUAAACAAGAAACCCCAUUGGAGGACCUCUGGUCCGAUCAUUCUUGAAGUAGGGCUCCGAUCUUUGAAACCAGGACCAGGAGAGGCGAGGAGUGAACGGAUGAGGACGCUUUAGGGCUUGAACGACCAUGAACACCCGUGAGAUUAAGCCGGAGACGAUUAGGGUUUGAGAAGGCUAGAGAGCUUUUGGGAUUCAAAGGCGGCGGGUUUGGAAGAAUGAGUUUAGGGUUAGGGGUGUUAGGAUUUAAUUAGGGUAAGUGAAGUGUGAAUCGUUGAUUUGUGUGAGCAACGGCCAUGAUUAAAAGAGUUGGGGCUGGUUAGUUUUAAGUGGGUUUGUGUCGGGUAGCUUCAAAUUGGGUCAGGCAAAUGGGGGCUAAUUUUGGGGUUUAUUUUGGGUUUCAAUUUGGGCUAGAAUUGAAAGAUUAAAGGGCUACAUUUUAAAUAGCCAUUUUUCCCCAAUUUAAUUUUAUAACAAAAUAGUAAGCAACUAUAUAUAUAUCCAGCAAAAGAAAUGAGAUAAUGAAAUACGUUUAGGACAAUUUGAUUUUAUAAAAAUAGUAAACAAUUUUGUAAGAAUCCAAUAAAAUCACUCAGUUAAGAAAAUAUAUUUAGGAAGCAUCUAAAAAUAUUAAGAACGACUUUGUACUUGAAAUACUUAUUAAAUCAAGAAAUAGGCUAAAAUUGCAAUUUAAUGCAAUUUUAGUGUUAAAAAAAAUACCUUAUGGCUUUGUAAAAUUCUGUAAAAAAAAUAAAUUAUAUUUUUAUGUAAAUGAGAGAAUAAAUAAAUUAUUUAUUAAAAAUCAAGAUUUGAUACUAAAUUUUGGAUUUUCUAGUACAUACCUAAUGGAUUUGAAAAAAUUCUGUAAAAAUUACAUAAAUUAUAUUUUUAUGUAAACGCGAGAAUAAAAUAAAUUAUUUAUUAAAUAAUAAGAUUUGAGGUUAAAUAUUGGAUUUUAUAGUACAAAAUAAGUUGUAAUUUGGUUUUAAAAUGCUUGAAAAUUUAUAGAAAAUACCAAACCUUUUUUGGAUGUUUAUAUAUGCAUUCACGAGCUAUUUUGAAAGUAUUUUGGAUACAAAAAUACAUAGGAAAAAAUUGGGUAUCAACAACUACCACGACUCCCUCCGAGUUGGAAGAGGAGUAGCUUCCAGUUGUUGACAUUAGCACGUGGUCCGAUGUACUGUACAUCGGCUUUGCUCGACACUUCACCGGCUUCGACCAUGUUCACCUCAGCAAAUACCCUCUCAAGCCCCUUUUCCAAGUUCCCAUCUGCACAAAUCAAUGGACCAGGCACCUUUGCCAAUAGUUGCUUCCCGAUAUUUGACCUGACGAAGGACCUGGACAGACGUGGAAUUGGUUUGGGAAGAACCCAGACUCUUUUCUUCAUCUUGAGGGUCCGUCUCACAUCCGCAGCCAUAGGCUUGAACCCCAGCCAAAGGUAUCAAGAUUAUUGGGCAAGUAAACCGGCUGAACAAUACCUUGCAAAUCAGCACCCAACCAUUUUCCUAGUACAAACCCAUUUUUCAACGUUUUAGAGGCUACCAUGACAGUUGCAGCCAUUGUUCUGGGGACUGGGAUGCUUUUACCUUCAGGAACCUUUUCUACCAAGACCGUGUUGAAAUGUUGGUAAACCCGCGGCCCCUUAUCAUCAUCAGUCUCUAUGAAGUGUACGAUGGCAUCACUUACAGUGCUCAUGUUGUCUUCCCCAUGUACUACGAUCUCUUGUCUAUCCCGCUCGAAUUUGACCAUCUGAUGUAGUGUAGAAGGCACCGCUUUGGCAGUAUGGAUCCAUGCUCGCCCCAAUAGAAGAUUAUAAGACACCGCCACAUCUAACACCUGAAACUCCAUGGUGAAAUCGACCGAACCAAUUGUCAAUUAAAAUGUGAUGCCACCCAUGGUGUCUGUACCACCACUAUCAAACCCUCGAACACAGAUGCUAUUUUUUUGAAUUAUGUCAUUAUCAACCUUCAACUUGUUCAAUGUAGACAAAAGACAGAUAUUAGCACUGGACCCAUUAUCAAUCAGUGCUCCAGUGACUACCGAAUCUUCACAUUUCACGGUCAAAUAAAGAGCUCUGUUAUGUUAUGUACCGUCCAUGGGCAAUUCAUCAUCAGAAAAUGUCACUUUGUUUACCUCAAAGAUCUUAUUCGCGAUUUUCUCUAAAUGAUUCACUAAAAUUUUAUUGGGGACAUGAGCGUCGUUUAAUAUCUUCAUCAGAGCUCGGCGAUGUUCAUCCGAGUGGAUAAGCAAUGAAAGCAAUGAGAUUUGGGCUGGUGUUUUCCUUAAUUGUUCAACAAUGGAAUAGUCAUGUACUUUCAUCUUUUUCAAAAACUCUUAUGCCUCUUCCUGUGUAACAGCUUUUUUCACUGGCGCCGAAUUUUCCUUUGGAGCCCUGGACUUUCUCAACUCUUGUGGAGCAAAGUAACGCCUCGAGUGAGUUAAACCUUGUGUUUCACAGACCUCCUCUUUGAUUUUCUUCCUCUUGUAGGUCACAACUACCUGUUCAUACUUCCAAGGAAAAAUUUGUCAAUUACUGGUAACUGGAUUACUGGUUUUAUGACAACCGGUCUUAUGUGAGGCCCAUUCAUGACUACCGUAGGUGUUCUUGAUACCCCUUGCACCAAUACUGACCGGAUAUAAUUUCUUCGUAUUAAUGGACGAACCUUGCCCUAUCACCACAACUGGUUUGUUGUCUACACUUUUCAACUGAACCGCUGGUUUCGCACUAGCUGCCAUUUCAUUCACCUUGGCUUCGCUAGAACGGAUCAUCAUGACCGUCUACGAGGGAUUCUUAAGCUCUUCUACCUUAUGUAUCAGCUGAAUCUUGAUCAGUUCAAUCAUGUUGGCUCAUAAUGUGCUAGCAACGGGUUAUGGUUGAUAUUCGGUGUCUCUGGGACCUGAAUCUCGAUCCUGAUUGUGUCGAUAAUCUCUUGCACAACAGUUUUCAAUCUCCAACAUUUCUCAGUUUCAUGUCCGAGAACCCCUGAACAAUAUUCACAUCUCUCUAAGUGGUCCAGAUUUCUAGGAGGGGGAUUUCGCAUUUUGGUCUCAAUCGGGUUUAACAUGCCUAAAUGCCUCAGUUUGUGGAAAAGAGUGGUAUAGGAUUCUCCCAACAGAGUGAAUGCUUUUUGUUUCUGGAUCCUCUCAUUUCUGAAAGCUUGGUUUGAACGGAAGCCGGAUCCUGGCCUAUAGGGCUGGAUAUGUGUUUUGGGGAGCUAAAUAUGUGUUUUGGGGAGCCGGUGCACGCCAUUGGGGGUGAACCGGAGGCUAGGUAUAGGUUUGAGCAUGGUGGACAGAAAAAUGUGGAUCUGGGGUGGGUAGUAGUGUUGUGGAGGGUCAUAUGGGGUGUGUGGGUAGUUUAGGUGGUGGGGUUUGGGUUGGUUGUAAUAGGGUGAAGGGCUUCUGGACCUAGACCAUGCUCCGGAUUCGACAGUCGCAACCUCUUAUUUCUUCUUCUUUCAAAGCACACCCCCAUUGCCGCUUUGGUUGGCCUGGGUGGUUGUUUUAAUCGCUGAAUAGCUCAUGAUUCUAUUAGACUUCAAACCUUCUUCUACCAUAGCUCCCAUUGUUACCACUUCAUUAAAGGAUUUGCCAAUUGUCGUCACCAGGUGGCCAAAGUAAGUUGGCUCCAAAGCCUGCAAAAUAAAGUCCACGAUUUCACUUUCCCUCAUUGAAGGAUCGACCCUCGCAGCCUAUUCUUUCCAGCAGAACCCAUACUCCCUGAAACUUUCCCCUGGCUUCUUCUCAAGUUAUAUCAACGAUAGGCGGUCUGGGACGAUCUCAAAAUUAUAUUGGAAGUGGCCAGCGAAUUCCUGUGCUAGAUCAUCCCAAAUAUACCACCUGCUAGGAUCUUGGCAUGUAUACCAUUCUAGUGCAGACCCAUUCAAACUUUGCACAAAGUAUACCAUCAACAGUUUAUCUCUCCCACCAACCCCUCUCAUCUAAGUACAGAAACCUCGCAAAUGUGCUACUGGGUCGCCGUGACCAUCAUAAUGAUCAAACUUUAGCAUUUUGUAGGUAGCUGAACAUCGGGGAACAGGCACAGAUCUUUAUAGGACACACUAACCUAAUUGCCAAAUCCAUGCAUAUUCCUGAAGGACUGAUCCAGGCUUUUCAUUUUUCAAAGUACUUCUUCCUGUUCUAGGUUAUUAGACGACUUUUCUGUCUUUGUUGGGAGCUCAAAGUGAGAGGUAUAAGAGUACGGAUUAGGGGCUUUGAAAGUAGGUUCAUGGGGAUAGUAUUGACUGUCGUGAGCUUAAAAUAGUGUAUCACUAGAAGAUCUUUGCAGCGUGGCAGGUGGAGGCGCCAUAAAGAAAUGGAUGAUUGGUGGAUGAGGGUUUUGUUUGGGUGGUGGAGCUUGGGAAGGGUAUGAGGUGGUACUAUAACUUUGUUGGUAUAACGGGAAAGUUGGAGAUGAAUUCACAGUAGGAGGCUCCUGAGACUGAGCUAAAGGUGGGUGUAGGUUGGAUUGGCGGGAUAAACUGGUGCCGACUGACUCCUAGACCAAGCCUGAUGCAUUUCAGCCAUUUGCUGCCUCAACCUAUGCAUUUCUUCCCUUAUCGCAUUAAAAUUCAUCACCUCUACCUCAUUUGCCGGGUCCACAAUACUAGUAUCGAAUUCUUGUCCUGUCAUUUUCAGCUUAUCUUUUGAUCGGGUGUUGUAGGAAUGGGUUGCCAGAAUGCCAAACAACUAACCACCUGCUUGGACUCAACAUCAACAACAGCUUGGUUAAUGGUUAGGGCAUGAGCAGAUUUGAUAACCGCACAUUGGAAAUGAAUGCACCUAAACAGUUUAACGAAUUCUAUAGCAUUUACUCAACUACUUGCGUCAUCCCGGCUUUUAUUUUUAAUGGCAACUUUCUUUCUUUUUGUUUCUUUUUUUCUUUGUUGUUUUUCAUUUCUUGCUUUUCAUUUCUUUUCUAUGUUUCCCUUUCAAUUCUUGCAUUUCUUUUUGUUUAUUUCGGUUCUCUCGUUCCCUCGAUUUCUUAUUUUUUCUUUUCUUUUCCCUUUUUUUUUUCCUUUUCCCCUUCCUCUCUUGUUUUUCUUCCUUCUUUCUAUUAUUUCCUUUCUUGUUUUUCCUUUGUUUUCUUUUUCCUCUCUUUUUCUUGUUCUUCCGCUAUUUUCUUUCAUUUUUUUAUUGGUUAUGGUCGAAUCCAAUGAAGAUUACCUACGUAUCAUGAUGCCGCAUGAAUCAGACCAAGCGUAGUUCGUGAAGAUAAAGUUAAAAAAAAUAUAUUUUGGAACUUUUAACUUUUCGCAGUAAAACAAACUUUGACUACAAUUAUUUAAAAACUGACCAACUUGAGCAAAACUAACAAACUCUGACGAAAAGUUGAAAUACAGACUUGAAAAUCAAACAACCCACAUACUUUAAUCACAAGAGAAAACAAACUGACAGAUUCUUUCCCCAUAUGCCAACUUUAACAAAAUUGCUAUUUUUGCAAACGUGGCCUCUUCCCAAUUUCACAUGAAUUUACAGGCCGGGGAGGAUUAUUUUAUAACACUUCACAAACUUGUUCGUUCUUUUAUAAAAAUAGCCUUUUGACAACUGAAGGAUACUCUAAGUCUAUCUCGGCAAGAGCGAUUUAAGACACUGCCGAAGAUGGCUCGGCUUAUUUUGACCAAAAAUCCAAACGGUAUUCACUUGACCACCGACCCUUUUCCUUAUUUUUAAAAUUAAAACAAAAGACCUGGUUUUGCAAACACGACCUUUCAGCACCUCGGGGACGAAGAUUUUAAGACUGUGUUGUCUAACCGGCCAAAAUCUUUAUAAAAUGACCAAAGGCCGAUGUCUUGCACAAGAAGCCUUCCGGCGCCCUUUUAGGGGCAUUCGGCUAUUUCCGACAAGAAUGGUUUCACUUGACUUAUUUAUGACGAAAAUUAAAAUUCUGAUAUUUUUUGGCUAUUUUUGCAAAGGGAAGGUUGGACCCGAUGAGGGUUGCCUACGUAUCUACAUCCGGUGAGAAUCAAACAUGCGUAGUUCGGUCCAAGAAAUUAAGUAUAUUUUGAAAAACAAGACUCUUUCUUUUAAUUUUCUAUCGCAAGACAAACUAUUUUCCCUUUUCUAUUUUUGAAAACAAGACAAAAUAACGAUUCUUUUUUCUUUUUCAUUUUCAACAAACAAUAAAAACUCUCAUUUUUUCAAACUAAAAUGAAGACUUUUUUUCCUUUUUCUCUUUCAAUAAAUAAUAAAACAACCUGAAAACAAAGGCUCUUUUUUUUCCUUUUCCAACGAAUAAUAAAACAACCAAUUUUUUUCUUUUUUGUAACUAUUUUCAAAACUAGAAAAAUCAAAAAUAAUGACUCUUUUACUUUUUGCUUUUUUGAGUAAAAAACUAUUUAAAAAUAAAAUAUUUUUUUUAUUUUCUCAAAAUUUCGACAGAGCUUUGAUAGUAUUUGGGCAUUUGAUUUUUAUUUCUAAAAAUAGGAAAUUAACUCUCUACACUGUUAUUUCUCUCUUUUUCUCGAUUUUUCGAUAUUCAGAUAUCCAGAGGCCGAUCAGCAUGGAGUUCCGAACAAAUAAAUGCACAGAAUAAGUAGGAUGCCUCCAGGAUAGUCUUUUUCAUUUCGGAUUGCUAGCCCUAGAUGGACCCAACCCUUGUGUUGAGUCCCCUAAGUCAAAUGCAGCAUGAUGCAAAUAAGCGCUCCUACUAGGGAUCCGGCAUGAAUUCACAUUAUUCUAGGUUCAAAGCCUGGGUAUAUGUUCUAAACAGUGCACCCGAGCGGACAACUCGAGUCGAGGAGGGGGCAGCGCGAGAUCGUCCAGCUUUGCAACUUAUCUGAGCCUCUUACUUAUUUCAGGGUAUGACACUAACAGAAUAGGGAGUCUCAGCCAAUAAGCACAAUCCCGAAGGUGAGAAGAGAAGGGGUUCGACACAGUUUAUAUACAUUUCAAAAAAUAUCAAAGCGGUAAAUAUUUAGCACAUUAAACAUGAAACAUGUAGGAAAAUUAGAUAUAACCAAAUAGAACAAUUUGUAUAAGCUCGAAUUCUGAACCCUGAACAAGACAUUAUAGGUUCUUUUCCCCAGCAGAGUCGCCAGAGUUGUCACACCUCCUUUUUCACUACACCCACAAGGGCGUAGAUGAGUUUUUCCAAUUAAAGGACAAUUAGCCCGGGAUUUGUUAUUAAUUAUUUCAGAGUAGCCACUUGGGAGAUUAAUAGUGUCCCAAGUCACCAGCUAAAUCACGAACUUAGGAAAAUUAUGACUUUGUCAACAGUCUGCGAACCAGAAAUCCGAGUAAGGAAUUUCGUUAACCCGGGAGAAGGUGUUAGGCAUUCCUGGGUUCCGUGUUCUAGCACGGUUGCUCAACUGUUUUAUUUGAUUUUAUCUGAUUUCAAAACAUGUUCUAGCUUAUGCUUUUUUUCUUAAUUUUGAACCGCUUUUUUUAACAAGAAUUGCAACAUCGUGAAAACGCAUAUCAAACCACGUCAUAUCAAUGCACACGUGGUUGUUGACACAUUUCGACUCCGUUUAGAUUUAGGUUUGGGUCACAUAAAUGCACCCGAAUUUAGGAAGGUAAUAUUAUUAAACACGCACCUAAAGCAACUACGCGUUUGCACUUUUGUGAGGUUCAUGAAAUUUGCUAAAUGGCACGUCUCGGAAUCUAAGGAUCAAUAUAUGACUAAUUAAAAUGAGGGCUAUGCAAUUGUCAUUUUUGUUUGGCACGGUGCACCUCAAUUUAUCCAAACAGUAUUUUUUGUAUUGCAAUAGACUUAACUGAAAAUCCAAUUAAUUAUUCCCCAAAUGAAAAUGAUGAUAACUGAAAGUCAUGAACCCAUAUCAAUAUGAAUCAGCCAAACCUUCACCAAUCUUAAAAUGACUCUCCAAAUGCUUAUCUUCAUCAUCAACAACAAUAAACAAACAAGAUAUAUAUAAAAAGGGUGAUCCCGAGGAUUAAUAUAGCAGCUCCAAGACAUGCUCAAAUACAAGAAGGAACAGAUUCACACAAAAUUUGCUUAUGCAUGCUCUUAUAAAAAAAAUAGCACCAACUGAACAUUUAUGCAUAUACGCACAGUUCAACUCUUCCUAGCUAACAUGGUAACUCUACAUUUUGGUUUCAAUUUUAGUUGUUGUUGUCUCAGUGCUUCUUAUGCCCUUAGGUAGAUUUCUAAUCCACAGAUAGUACUUCAUAAAAAGAAGAACUAUAAGGUUACUAGUUAAGGAAAGAGAGUAAAUAUUAAGUUCAAAUACAAGUGGAAAAUCAGCAAACGUUUUCUCAGGCAACGAUACAACAAAACAUCAGUAGUUAAGGCAUUUACUACUGAUGAUAUACGUUAUUAUAAGACAAACAUCCAUGAAAAAUGAAGCAGAUCAACUCCAAUUUGUCAAACACAUAUAUACAAUGCUCACUAACAACAUUACUUCAUUCAACAUGCAUUAUGAAAUUCAGAAGGUCUACAUCAGUCAAGAGUAAGGCAAAAAUGAGACUUUACAUGAAUCUGAGACUCGACACUGACCUCGACCAGAAAAGUUACUGACCCUCGACGGAAACAACGGCUCUGCAAAAUGGGAUUCCGAACCUCGACAGCACCAGAAAACUCAGGAAAACUCCAACACGAACCUAAAAUUGGACUAUGUUUCUAACCUUGAAAAUCGAAACAAAGUGAAGACGAGAGGUCAGAAGAAGAUGCCGGGAUGGACAGUUCGUCCGAACUCCGAUGCCUCUAUUUCGUUCUAUGUCUGUUUUCCUAGCUUCUAUCCUGCCGUUUUCUAUAUAUUUUAUGAGUGUGUGUUACGACAUUUCCGGCGAGUUCGCUGCUGUUAAAGAAGACAAAGCCGACAGGGUGUGAAGAAGAUGAUAAUCGGGGGUGGGAGUCGUUUCUUUGUUGAAAAGCUGUGCUCCGGAUCUCUAUCCUUCCUUUUCUGCAUAUUUUUAGGCCUUAUUUUAUAGGUAGAGUCUAGGUUUAUGUGUAUUUUUAUAUAUUUGUCAAUUAAUCCCUAGGUCAUUUGAGUUGAAUGUUAGGAUUUUUUUUAUUUUUUUAUCCCAAAAAAAGUCUAGAAGGAUCCCAAGACUACACAAUGAAUCUUCGUUUUAUUUUUUGUAUUUUUUAAAAAAUAAGAUAGAAAUAAUACACAAUACCAAAGCUAAUCCUAGUUAAUGAAACUAUAUUUUUUUAUUUUUGAAAUUAUAUAAAGAUAAAAAUAAGGUACUAUUUUUAUAUUUUUUUGAAUUUAUGAAAAAUGAAUAAACUAAAAUCUUUUUUUUAAAAUUUUCAUUUUUCUUUUACCAAAAUAAAGUAAAAGCAUCAAAAUUAAUUGAAAUAGCUCUAUUAGGCCUAAAUUAAAUAUUUACAUGCUAAAAUAUGAAAAAUCUUGGGGAGGAUCAAAAAUCGCAUGUCUACAAGCACUAAAUUGAGAGUUAUUCAUAAGAGACGCACUUCCUAGUUUGAAUCAUUAAAUUUUCACCCCUAUGAGACGCAUUUCCUAGUAUGGGUCUUUCAAAUUAUAUUUUGUUUUAGGAGACCCACCUUCUAAAUUGAGAUUUCACCCCUAGGAGAAGCACUUCCGAGUUUGGUUCAUAGAAGUUUUACAUGUAGGAGACACACUUUCUAGUUUAUUUUAUUCAAGUUUUAGCCUUAGGAGACGCACUUCCUAAUUUGGUUCAUUCAAGUUUCAGCCUUAGGAGACGCACUUCCUAGAUUGAGUCAUUGAUGUUUCACCCCUAGGAAACGAACUUCCUUGUCUAAGUCUUUCAAGUUAUAUUUUUUUAAGAGACGCACUUUCUAAAUUUAGAUUUCACCUCUAGGAGAUGCACGUCUUAGUCUGGGUCUAUCAGGAUAUACCUGUAGGAGAUGCACUUCUUAUAUUGAGAUUUCAUCCCUAAGAGAUGCACCUCCUAGUUCAAGUCAUAUAAGUUCGGCCCCAGGAGAUGUACUUCCUAGUCUGGUUCAUUGAAGUUUUACCUGUUGCAGACGCACUUCCUGAUCAAGGUCAUUCAAGUUAUUCUUUUUGGAGAUGCACUUCCUAAAUUGAGAGCUCAUUCAUAUGAGACACACUUCCUAGUUUGGUUCAUUCAAGUUUCACCCAUAGGAGACGCACUUUGUAAAUUGAGAGUUCAUUCAUAGGAGACGCGCUUCCUAGUUUGAGUCAUUGAAGUUACACCUUUAGGAGACGCACUUCCUAAAUUGAGAGUUCAUUCAUAGGGGACGCACUUCCUACUUUGAAUCAUUGAAGUAUCACCGCUAGGAGACACACAUCCUAGUUUGGAUCUUUCAACUUAUAUUUUGUUUUAGGAGGCCCACCUCCUAAAUUGAGAUUUCACCCCUAGGAGAAGCACUUCCUAGUUUGGUUCAUUAAAGUUUUACCUGUAGGAUACGCAUUUUCUAGUUUGGAUCAUUCAAGUUUCAGCCUUAGGAGACGCACUUCCUAAUUUGGUUCGUUCAAGUUUCAGUCUUAGGAGACGCACUUCCUAGUUUGAGUCAUUGAUGUUUCACCCUUAGGAGACGUACUUCCUAGUCUGGGUCUUUCAAGUUAUUUUUUGUUUCAAGAGACACAUUUCCUAAAUUGAGAUUUUCCCCCUUGAAGACGUACUUCUUAAUCUAGGUCUUUCAGGAUACACAUGUAGGAGACACAUUUCCUAAAUUGAGAUUUCACCCCUAAGAGAAGCACCUCCUAUUUUGAGUCAUUUAAGUUCGGCCUCCAGGAAAUGCAGUUCCUAGUCUGAUUCAUUGAAGUUUUACCUGUAGGAGACGCACUUCCUAAUCAAUUUCUUUCAAUUUAUUCUAUUAGGAGAUGCACUUCCUAAAUUGAGAGUUCAUUCGUAUGAGGCACACAUCCUAGUGGUUCAUUCAAGUUUCACCCCUAGGAGACGUAUCCCAGUUUGCUUCAUUCAGGUUUAAUUUUUAGCAACGCAUUUGCUAGUCAAAGUUUUUUGGUUUUACUCAUAUGAGGGGCACAUCUUAGUCUAGUUUUUAGUUUACUCUCAUCAUUGCAUCAAUAAUAUAAGUGGUUUAUAAUUUUGCUAACAACUCACAAACCUUCCUAGUGUAAACUGGUGCAGAGAAUUUCGUUUGUUUUGUUUGUUUUGAUUGCAGGCACCCACAUGGAAAACAAGGGAACACAGAAAGUUUCAGCAACCAAGCACCCACCUGGAGAACAAAGGGAAGGCAGCAAGGUUCACAGGAGUUCAUCAAUCAGGAGCCCACCUGGAGAACCAAACGAAGAAAUUCAAGUUUCAAGGAAAAACAGUGCAAGUGUUCAGUAAUCAGGAGCCCACCUGGAGAACAAAGGGAAAGCAGCAAGGUUCAAAGGAGUUCAGCAAUCAGGAGCCCACCUGAAGAUUAAAGGGAAGUAGUUCAAGUUUCAAGGAAAAGCAACACAAGUAUUGGUAAUCAGGAGCCCACUCGGAGAACAAAAGGAAAGCAACAAUGUUCAAAGGAAGACAACAAUCAGGAGCCCUCCUAGAGAACAAAUGGAAAGCAGCAAGUUUCGAAGGAAGACAGGUCGAGUAUUGGCAAUCAGGCGCCUACUUGGAGAAUAAGAGAAUUCACUCCAGAACGCAAUUCAAGUCAGCAACAAAAGAAGCUCGUGGCAAGAAUGCGAGUCAACAGUCCGAGGUGAUCAACAGAAGUUAGUCACAAUAAAGAAAAAAAAAAGAAAAAGGCAAGAAGUUAAUCCAAAUGCAGAAGUUGAUGAAAGAUGUGGGUUUCUCAAGAUGUGGCCGAGGUCACAAGCACUACAUGCCUGGUCUUGAUCCGAAAAGCUGAAGAAGGAUGAACUAGAACCUCCAACUAGCGAGCAUCAAGGUUCGAAUCUAAAGUUUGCAUGAAUAACGCUCAAGACUCAAGAUCAAGCUUCAGAAGACUUAUAGAUAGGAAUCUUGUAACUCGUAGUUGACAGGCUUAGCUAGUAUUUUUCAUGUUUUAAUUUUUGAUGUAAUAACAGGACCACGAACCGGAACCUCAACGGAACGGUACCUCGACCGACUCUCUACCUCAGCAUACUCCAUCAUUUCACUCAUAUCUGAACUACACGUGGCAUGAUUCCUUUAUAUCCAAGAAUAUGUAGGCAGGUCAGAUGCCAGGGCUCGGUCAUAUUCCCCUUUUCUCUUAGUUUUAGUCUUUCCAAAUAAGGGCCGGGUAAAAAACCUGUCUAGUCGUUCUUUGUCUGAAAACUCUUCGCGUUUCCAGUCAAAGAGGGGCAGCUAUAGACAUGUGAUUUUUACCAUACCCAAGAUUUUUCAUAUUUUUAGUACAUAAAUAUUUAAUUUAGGCUUAAUAUAGCUAUUUCAACUAAUUUUUUGUAUCCUACCAAGAUUUUUCAUAUUUUAGCACAUAAAUAUUUAAUUUAGCCCUAAUACAGCUAUUUAGACUCAUUUUUACUUUAUUUUAUUACAAAAAAAUAAAAA
rnacentral:lncRNA from 1 species